rnacentral:rRNA from 1 species
AACGGGUGAGUAAUGCAUCGGAACGUGUCUUAAAUGGGGGAUAACGCAUCGAAAGAUGUGCUAAUACCGCAUAAUCUCUAAGGAGGAAAGCAGGGGAUCGAAAGACCUUGUGCUUUUAGAGCGGCCGAUGCCUGAUUAGCUAGUUGGUAGGGUAAAGGCUUACCAAGGCAACGAUCAGUAGCUGGUCUGAGAGGACGACCAGCCACACUGGAACUGAGACACGGUCCAGACACC